GACUGGAUAGCCUAGUGGUCAAGGCAUCAUAUACAAGUUGUGUACUUGAGGGUCCUUGGUUUGAAUCUGAGUCUAGUCA
rnacentral:tRNA from 1 species